rnacentral:lncRNA from 1 species
GGGCUUUUCCAGCUUCUCGUCUGGGUCCUGCGCUGGAGCUCACCUGGCAUCCCAGGGGUCCUCAAAGAGCAAAGUAUAAAGCUAAAGCUGAAAUAGGAGAAUCUUCCCAGCGGUCACCAGAAGUCCUAAAGGAAAUCCUGGAGGAAUUGGACAAAGCAGCACGUGAGAUGGACCGCGAGACUGUGGAGAAGGAGGCGUUUCAGGAAGGAGAUAGUCACGCAGCGCCAGUCUCUGAUGAAAAAACAGGGGCAAUUCAAUCAACAGGCGUGCCAGUGGCAGUGCUGUCCAGCCCUGGAGAAGCCCACCACGCCAGGAGAUAUGAAUUUUCUCCAAAGAAUGCA